rnacentral:misc_RNA from 1 species
CUAACAUAAUAACGAGAUACUGAGUCGGGAGAAGGAAAACGUGAAGAGCUGUCUCUGAAAUGUGGAUGCUAACAUGAGUAACUAUGAGAGAUUUGACUCGGAUCGGGGUGAGCCUGAGGGGGCAGCUGAAAUUGAUGUCACUACAGCGGAAGGUAGAGAGAAUAAAGAUACACACAUUCAAGUUAAUGACCCUGCGGAGGAAGGACAAGUGACAUUCUAUGAAUCGGAUAACAAAGCCGGUUUAGAAUAUGUUGAUGAUCCUGCCCAGUCUGUUCAACUUACUGGAUUGAAACUCAUUCAGUCCAAGUUCAAGGCUGUCAUUGAGCAUAUCUUAUUCCGCCUCCUGACUGUGGUUUUGAUCCUGUUGGAUUUGACCCUGACCAUUAUUGGGCUGGCUAACACAGACAGUGCCAGCAGUGGCUUAGAGAUUGUCUCCCACUGUAUCAUCACCUAUUUCCUACUCGAGGUGGCAGCACGCAUAUUUUAUCUGGAGCGGCUAUUUUUCAGCAGUAUCCUGGACAUGGUUGAUGGAGGGGUAAUUGUUGUAUCCUUUAUCCUAGAUAUGGUAUACAUUGGUUUGUCAUCAACUGAUCAAGACAUCGAUUAUAUCAGGUUGGUUGUGAUUGGUCGAGUGGUGAGAAUUAUCAGAGCAUUGAGAGUUAUCUACCUUAUGGUACAGCAACGGCGACACGUUGCGACAGCUUCCCGUCGUGUUGUGUCCCAGAACAAGCGGCGAUACCAAAAGGAUGGGUUUGAUCUGGAUCUGUGCUAUAUUACAGAGAGAGUGAUUGCUAUGUCAUUUCCAUCUAAAGGGAUGAUGGCAAUGUAUAGGAAUCCAGUAAGGGAAGUGGCAAGAUUCUUUGAUGAAAAACACAAGGACCAUUACAGAAUUUAUAACCUUUGCAGUGAAAGAGAUUAUGAUGAGGAAUUGUUCCACAACAGAGUGGAACGUGUUUUCAUAGACGAUCACAAUGUCCCCAGACUAAGUGAGAUGGUAGAUUUCACUGCUAAUGCACGAGAGUUUAUGAACCAGGAUCCACAGAAUGUGAUAGCAAUCCAUUGUAAAGGCGGCAAGGGUAGGACGGGCACAAUGAUAUGUACUUGGCUCAUUGACUGUGGCUUGUUUGAGGAUGCAGAGGAAAGCUUGGGCUACUUUGGUGACAGGAGAACAGAUUUAACUGUUGGCAAGACAUUCCAGGGAGUGGAGACUCCGAGUCAGAGUAGAUAUGUUGGAUAUUAUGAAAAAGUGAAGAAAGAUCUGAAAGGACAACUACCUCCACGAAAAGAGAAGAAAAUGACAUCUGUUAAAAUUGAAGGCCUCACAGGUGUUGGCAAUGGAGACGGCUCUGACUUUUCUAUGGAGAUUAGAGUUGACGGACUGCUCAUAUAUGAAUGCCGAUUUGGUGACAAUAUCAAUUGUCAGAUGAUGAAGUACACGGACAGCGACAGCAUUGUUGUCAACCUACAGAAUUCUCCAACUUUGUUCGCCGACGUCAAACUACGCUUCUUUUCACCUGCAAAAAACAUUCCUAAGAUUUAUGACAAUUGUGCCUUUUUCCUGUGGUUUCAUACCUCCUUCAUUGAAAAUAAUAAGCUGCGCUUAACAAGAGAUGAACUCGACAAUCCCCAUAAGAAGAAAGCCAAGGAGGUUUACAGAGACCAUUUUGCAGUGGAACUCAACUUUGAAGAUGCUGAUGAGGACUGAGGAGGGUUGCUGACCAAGGGAGGAUUUCUGCCCAGCCAAAGGAAGGUUUCAGACUGGGGGGUGGGGAGGGGAGAGGAGAGGAUGGCUACGGGAGGCUUUUUUUACUUAAGAGAUUGAGAUUUGUUUAGUGAUGAAGACUUCUUACUGAGUGAAGUAUCUUUGUGAGGGAGGGUUUCAGAGUGAGGUAUCUAACUGAGAGGGGGUAUCUGACUGAGUGAGUUAUCUAUGUGAGGGAGGGUUUCAGAGUGAGGUAUCUAACUGAGAGGGGGUAUCUGACUGAGUGAGGUAUCUUUGUGAGGAAAAGUUUCAGAGUGAGGUAUAUAACUGAGUGAGGUACAGUAUCAGAAGUUGCUUAUGAGGAAGAGAUUCUUGGGAUUUCCUUUGAGGCUUUGAAGUCAACAUGCCUAUAUUUAGUACACAGGUGGCUUAUUAGCCUGGGAGGCUGUGCUUAGGACUUUUUGUUGGGGGAAACAUUCCUGGUAAAUACUUUGUAAUGAGGUUGGGGGAGACAUUCUGCUUUUAUAAUAUAAGGAGUCAGAGGAAACAUUCCGUUGUGUGAAAAGUCAGGGAGACAUUCCUAAUACAAAACAGGUAGAGGGAGACAUUCCUGUUAUGUAACAAGAGGGGGGAGACAUUCCUAAUAUAAAACAGGUAGAGGGAGGCAUGCAUGUUAUGUAACAAGAUGGGGGGAGACAUUCCUAUUAUAAAACAGGUAGAGGGAGACAUUCCUGUUAUGUCACAUGAUGGGGGGAGACAUUCCUAAUAUAAACCAGGUAGAGGGAGACAUUCCUGUUAUGUAACAAGAGGGGGGGAGACAUUCCUAAUAUAAAACAGGUAGAGGGAGACAUUCCUGUUAUGUAACAAGAUGGGGGAGACAUUCCUAAUAUAGAACAGGUAGAGGGAGACAUUUGUGUUAUGUAUCAAGAUGGGGGGAGACAUUCCUAAUAUAAAACAGGUAGAGGGAGGCAUUCAUGUUAUGUAACAAGAUGGGGGGAGACAUUCCUAAUAUAAAACAGGUAGAGGGAGACAUUCCUGUUAUUGUAAUAACAUUAUCUACUUACUUUUGUAUUGAAUAAUUUAAUGUUUAUUUUUAUACAUCAGACAGUUUUGUGAUUCUGGAUUUUAUUAUGAUACAUUCCAUUGUUUGAGGCUAGGUUGUAAAUUAGUAUACAUGUACUUUAACCAGAGCAUACUCUCAUGUGCUUUUAAUCAUCAUACUUUAUCAUGAAGCGGUGGAAGUGAAGGUUAUAGUUUACAUGUAAUUAAGUUAAGCUGUAACUUGUGUACGUGAUGUUUGUCCGUGAUGUUUUACAAGUCAUGUGCUAUCAGAAUGAAACACUUUCUAGUCACUAGGAGUGCCACACCAGUCAUAAUUUGAGAGUAUUAUGUGGUUAUGUGUACUUUUGUUGUUAUACUCUAUCCCCCUAAGAAACCAGCACAGCUAGUGAUUAUGUAAAAUCGUUAAAUGUAGGAACAUCAUCAUUCUAAAAUCACCAGAUACAUUUCAAAAGGAAACCUGGGUUGGGUUCUUUAAAGACAAUGUUUCAACUUGUAUUUGAGUCAAUAUGUAAAUUAGAAGAUAUAUAUUCUCUGAAAUUGGAAUUGUCCUAUAUAGAUUACAUUGACAAUGGACAAUGGACAAUGUUAACAUACUGUUUUUAUACAAUACAAAACCUGUUAUUGACUUUUUGCAAUGUUCCAAAAUGUUGAUUUUUCUCUCAUUUAAUACACCAUUGAAGUUCUAAUUGCUAUAGGUUGAAUAUUGAGAUCAGUAUUCAAAGAUUUUGUUUACCUGGUACCCUUAAAUCCUUUUGACAAUUGCCUUCGAUUUUUUUUAUAUAUACUUCUUGUAUAGUUUACUAAAGGAUGAUUUUAGAAAUCUGAUUUCUGGUAACAGAAAUAUUUUAUAGGGGCUGCACGGUGGCCAAGUGGUCAAGGCAUCUGACUAUCUAUGACCACCAGCCCUCAACCACUGGGUCAUGUGUUUGAGGCCUACAUUGGGGGCAGUCACCAGGUACUGGCCACAGGUCAGUGGUUAUUCUCCAGGCCUUUUGGUUUUCUUCCAACAUCAGAACUUUGCAUGUCCUUAAAUAACCACAACCGUUACUAGGACGUACGUAAAACACAAAACAAACAAAAAAACUAAUCCCUGCAAACUUCUCACUGGCACUACUAUCACAUACCAUGAACGGUACAAAUCUAUUUCCACCAGUUGAUAAGAAUUUGUAAAGGUGAGGCCAGUUUAUUGAGGGAGAUACAUAAAGUACUUAAGAAAAAAGAAAUAUGGAACUUUGACAGAUAUUGUCAGUAAGUGAGGAGGCAGAUGAAAAGAGGAGCGUGAAUGUGCCCUCAUGCAAUGAUAAAAAGGGCAGAAAGAAAAUCAGAUAAUAUUUUGGUCUUUUUACUUUUUAACACAUUGGUUACAUGUAAAUCAUGCUGUAUAUAUUUGUGCCAUAUAAAUGUGUACUUUAUAUUAAAUGAUGUUUUUGCUUAAGUACCAACCAGGUAUGUCUGUAAAUCACAUUUGUUUUGAAAUAUAUUUAUUUCAUGUUUUUAAUUCCUGCUGAAAUUCAAGGACUCAAGGAUAUUACGAGUGCCUUCCUGAUACAAAGAAUCAGAACAGUUCUGUCACUCUUUCAUGAACUGAAAUUCCCACAAAUUUCAACAAAGUUUGAAAAAUAAUCAUAAAAAGAAGUAUUAUUAAAAAGAUAAGUGAAUAUAUAAUUUCUCCAAUCAUAAAAAAAAUUCAUUGAAAAAGAUAAAAGUAUUUUGUAAAGUGCAAUAGGUUGUAAAACAUUAGAUAUAUUGAUGUUUAAUUUUAUUACAUACAUAUGUACAUCUAGUCUGCUUAAAAUGAUAUAACAAUAUGAAAGUGACAGUUUAAAUAAUACAAUAUGUAGUAUAUUAAUAUGAACUUUGAAUACUUGUGAUAGUAUCCUGGUACAGAUGUAUAGUGAGGUGCUGUGAUUGUUAAGAUCAGUCAUGUUCUACAAAUUGUGAUUGUUGUAGCUCUAUGGAUGCAGAUAGCUUAAAUCUAGUCCCGUUGUUGUUGUUUUCAGUAAAUGUUUGGUUUUUGUUUGAUUUGUUUUCACGGACAUGCGGCUUUGAGGUGCGACGACCUCUUACAAAGUAUGUACAUUGCAGUACACAUUUGCCUUAGAUGUUCAAAAUAGUAUUAUACAAUUAGAUACACAUGUAGUUAUAUUAUAUAUCUGUCGGUUAGUCUGGUGUAGUGGAUUGGUAUCCUGAAUUAGUAACCUCUAAUGUCAAUUAAAUUGUUUGUUAAUUUUAUAUACUUUACAUAUAGGAUAAUCAUGUAUUUGAAAUAUUUUCACUGAGGUUAAUAGUAAGUUAACAAUUGCUAUACUCAAUGAUUUAUUAGUGGAUAAGAUUGCUGAUGAUUAUUGUGAUAUUAUAAAUGCCCCCUUUGCCAGGAUGUAUCACAACAUAAAAUUAUUUAAAUAUGCAAAAUUAAUAUAUAUUACUAUAACCGUAGAAUAGAACAAAUAUUGUUAAAAUUAUAAAUUUUAUAUUAAUUUUGAACACUAAUUAUUUGGUGAUAAAUCAAAAUAUUAAUGGAAUGGUGCUAACAAUAUGAAAUCUGUUUUAACUUGCCUCAAAAGGGCCAAGCUCGCCCCAAAAGGGCCAAGUUAGCUUACACCAUGGUGCAGCGUCUGUCAUCAGUUAAUCUGUUGUAACUUUCCCUUUAUACACUACUAGUCCAGCACAGCUCAGUGGAUUUAGACUUCUUUUGGUCUUGAACAUCUUUAAUAGUGCCAAGGAGACACGUCAGUGUAUACAUGGAGGUUGUAUAAUCCUUCUUUGGGGCAGAGGGGUGUAGGGUCAAAUAGGGGAGUUAUGUAUGUGGCAGGGUUCAAUUGUACAUAGGAUUAAGGUCACCUUCUAGCUUAGAGCUAGAGGGAAUUUCCCUUCAGCUCA